ACGAAGCACAUACGGCGGAACUUUUCGGAGCUUAAAUGUAUGUGACUGAGUGGCGGACGGGUGAGUAACGCGUGGGUAACCUGCCCCAUAGAGGGGGACAACAGUUCGAAACGACUGCUAAUACCGCAUAAGAAAGAAUUGCCGCAUGGCAGUUUUUUGAAAGAUUUAUCGCUAUGGGAUGGACCCGCGUCUGAUUAGCUAGUUGGGAGGGUAACGGCCUACCAAGGCAACGAUCAGUAGCCGGCUUGAGAAAGUGAACGGCCACAUUGGGACUGAGACACGGCCCAGACUCCUACGGGAGGCAGCAGUGGGGAAUAUUGCACAAUGGGGGAUUUUUUGAUGCAGCGACGCCGCGUGAGUGAAGAAGUAUUUCGGUAUGUAAAGCUCUAUUUUUUUGGACCACCCCCACCCUCCGGGGUGGCUGACGGUACCUGACUAAGAAGCCCCGGCUAACUACGUGCCAGCAGCCGCGGUAAUACGUAGGGGGCAAGCGUUAUCCGGAUUUACUGGGUGUAAAGGGAGCGUAGGUGGCAAGGCAAGUCAGAUGUGAAAACCCGGGGCCCAACCCCGGGAGUUGCAUUUGAAACAGUCUGGCUAGAGUGCAGGAGAGGCAACCGGAAUUCCUAGUGUAGCGGUGAAAUGCA
rnacentral:rRNA from 1 species